GUGGACAGCAGACAAAUGGAAGAUUUGGCUCAUAAGAUAGCCUGUCUGAGGCUCAACAGCCUUGGCUGUGCUUCCUAGUUGCAACAAGGGUGAGAGAAUAAGAGCAGAUCAAGAUCAGGCCAGAGGAUGGAGUGCAAUAAGAGCUGUGUGCUUCUGUACUGUGCCUACCUAACGCCACCUCCCUGCUGAGGUGUAAGAUGCAGUGGUGGAAGAGGAAGUGGUUGAUGCCUCUGGACAAUGAAGACUGAACUUAAAUUGAUGAGACCAAAGCGAAGAAAGACCACCCUCUGAGAACAGCCAGGGAGAGGAUGAU